AUCCAGCUGAUGUGUCCUGAAUAGGACGAAACGUGCUUCCUGAAU
rnacentral:hammerhead_ribozyme from 1 species